UAAAAUUCAGAAAAAAAAAUUCAUAAAUUUUAAAUAUAUUAAUAUUUCAAUAUAAAAUUACUAAAAAUAAAUAAUAAAUCCAUAAUUUUUAUAAUUUUUUAUACUCUAAAAAUUUAACUUUCCUAUAAAAAAUAAAUAAAAAGUAACUUCAAAUAAAAAUUAAUAGACAUUUAAAAUAUAAUUAUAAAAAUUAACUAAAAUUUAAUAAUUCUAU
rnacentral:tRNA from 1 species